UACGUGGGUGGCAAGCGUUGUCCGGAAUUAUUGGGCGUAAAGCGCGCGCAGGCGGCCUCUUAAGUCUGAUGUGAAAGCCCCCGGCUCAACCGGGGAGGGCCAUUGGAAACUGGGAGGCUUGAGUAUAGGAGAGAAGAGUGGAAUUCCACGUGUAGCGGUGAAAUGCGUAGAGAUGUGGAGGAACACCAGUGGCGAAGGCGACUCUUUGGCCUAUAACUGACGCUGAGGCGCGAAAGCGUGGGGAGCAAACAGG
rnacentral:rRNA from 1 species